GGAGAGGUGGGUGAGUGGCUGAAACCAACGGUUUGCUAAACCGUCGUACGGGUACUGCCUGUACCGCGGGUUCGAAUCCCGCCCUCUCCG
rnacentral:tRNA from 1 species